rnacentral:rRNA from 1 species
CCUACGGGGGGCAGCAGUAGGGAAUCUUCCACAAUGGGGAAACCCUGAUGCAGCGACGCCGCGUGAGCGAAGAAGUAUUUCGGUAUGUAAAGCUCUAUCAGCAGGGAAGAAAAUGACGGUACCUGACUAAGAAGCCCCGGCUAAAUACGUGCCAGCAGCCGCGGUAAUACGUAGGUGGCGAGCGUUAUCCGGAAUGAUUGGGCGUAAAGGGUGCGUAGGCGGCUUGGCAAGUCUGAUGUGAAAGGCUGGGGCUCAACCCCAGGACUGCAUUGGAAACUGUUAGGCUGGAGUGUCGGAGAGGUAAG